rnacentral:rRNA from 1 species
AUUGAACGCUGGCGGCAGGCUUAACACAUGCAAGUCGAGCGAUCGGCGGACGGGUGAGUAAUGUCUGGGAAACUGCCUGAUGGAGGGGGAUAACUACUGGAAACGGUAGCUAAUACCGCAUACCAUCAGAUGUGCCCAGAUGGGAUUAGCUAGUAGGUGGGGUAAUGGCUCACCUAGGCGACGAUCCCUAGCUGGUCUGAGAGGAGGACCAGCUACACCGGAACUGAGACAGCGUCCAGACCCCUACGGGAGGCAGCAGUGGGGAAUCGUGCACAAUGGGCGCAAGCCUGAUGCACCCAGGCCGCGUGUGUGAAGAUGGCCUUCGCGUUGUAAAGCACUGUCAGCGAGGAGGCGUUACUCGCAGAAGAAGCACCGGCCAACUCCGUGCCAGCCGCCGCGGUAAUUC